UUUACGGAGAGUUUGAUCCUGGCUCAGGAUGAACGCUGGCGGCGUGCUUAACACAUGCAAGUCGAACGGUGAAGCCAAGCUUGCUUGGUGGAUCAGUGGCGAACGGGUGAGUAACACGUGAGCAACCUGCCCUGGACUCUGGGAUAAGCGCUGGAAACGGCGUCUAAUACUGGAUAUGAGCCUCUUCCGCAUGGUGGGGGUUGGAAAGAUUUUUUUGGUCUGGGAUGGGCGGUCGCGGCCUAUCAGCUUGUUGGUGAGGUAAUGGCUCACCAAGKCGACGGGUAGCCGGCCGAGAGGGUGACCGGCCACACUGGGACUGAGACACGGCCCAGACUCCUACGGGAGGCAGCAGUGGGGAAUAUUGCACAAUGGGC
rnacentral:ncRNA from 1 species